CAUUUUAGAGUACCAGAUGAAAAUCUAAUGCUUGUGAGUCAAGAUUCAGUGUCAAAGCCUCAAGUGCAAGUAGAGAAAAAAAUAACUCACAAAAGGGAAAGACGCCAUACUUAUUUUGGUGCACCAGAUGAAAAUCCAGAUGUAAAUCCAGAGUCAUCAUCAAAAUUCCAAGUGAAAGUAAAGAAAGAAAUAACUUCCAAAGAGGGGAGACGCAAAACAUUUCCUCUUGAAAAGCAAAAAAAUUAUAUGAUAUCACAUGAAAACCUAUUUCCUGAGAAGAAAGUUUUAUUUUCAAGAAGCCAGUUUCAAACUAAGAAUGAAGCUACCAGAAACAUGA